AUUGAACGCUGGCGGCAUGCUCUACACAUGCAAGUCGAACGGUAACAGGCCGCAAGGUGCUGACGAGUGGCGAACGGGUGAGUAAUGCAUCGGAACGUGCCCAGUCGUGGGGGAUAACUACUCGAAAGAGUAGCUAAUACCGCAUACGAUCUAUGGAUGAAAGCGGGGGACCAUAAGGCCUCGCGCGAUUGGAGCGGCCGAUGUCAGAUUAGGUAGUUGGUGGGGUAAAGGCUCACCAAGCCAACGAUCUGUAGCUGGUCUGAGAGGACGACCAGCCACACUGGGACUGAGACACGGCCCAGACUCCUACGGGAGGCAGCAGUGGGGAAUUUUGGACAAUGGGCGCAAGCCUGAUCCAGCAAUGCCGCGUGCAGGAAGAAGGCCUUCGGGUUGUAAACUGCUUUUGUACGGAACGAAACGGCUCUGGUUAAUACCCGGGGCUAAUGACGGUACCGUAAGAAUAAGCACCGGCUAACUACGUG
rnacentral:rRNA from 1 species